UACAGAGGGUGCGAGCGUUAAUCGGAAUUACUGGGCGUAAAGGGCGCGUAGGUGGUUAUUUAAGUAAGAGGUGAAAUCCCUGGGCUUAACCUGGGAACUGCUUUUUAGACUGAAUGACUGGAGUACAGUAGAGGGUAGUGGAAUUUCCGGUGUAGCGGUGAAAUGCGUAGAUAUCGGAAGGAACACCAGUGGCGAAGGCGGCUACCUGGACUGAUACUGACACUGAGGCGCGAAAGCGUGGGUAGCAAACAGG
rnacentral:rRNA from 1 species